rnacentral:lncRNA from 1 species
AGAGCCCUAAAUGUUUUUUUGUUUGACAUUCAUGCUUAACAGAAAAUGAUGAAUCCAUUAGCAACUCCUUCCGUUGCCAAAAGAAACAGACUUGCACUUGUAGAUUGCUUUCAUUCUGCGCUAUCAAGCCACUGCAUGUGCUGCUUUCACAAAGCUGACAGUCAUCUAUCAUUUUUAAAUGGGUUUAGAGGGUGGAAGAGAUGU